UACGGAGGGGGCAAGCGUUGUUCGGAAUUACUGGGCGUAAAGGGCGCGUAGGCGGCCUUCUAAGUCGAACGUGAAAUCCCCGGGCUCAACCCGGGAACUGCGUCCGAUACUGGAAGGCUUGAGUCCGGGAGAGGGAUGUGGAAUUCCAGGUGUAGCGGUGAAAUGCGUAGAUAUCUGGAGGAACACCGGUGGCGAAGGCGACUCCCUGGCCCGAUACUGACGCUGAGGCGCGAAAGCGAGGGGAGCAAACGGG
rnacentral:rRNA from 1 species